rnacentral:lncRNA from 1 species
CAUGAGGGAUCCACCCCCAUGACCCAGACACCUCCCACCAGGCCCAACCACCAACACUGGGGAUCACAUUUCAACAUGAGUUUGGAGGGGACACACAUUCAAAUCACAGCACAUGCUUUUCCACCCAGCAGCCAUUCUGCCCAUCUUUCCCUGGCUGACAGAACUCUGCCUUCGAGUAGGUGUUGGGGGUCAUGCCCUUCAUGAAAGGAGGAGUUUCUCUCUCAUCUCGGUGGGUGAAUCAAGCGGCCUGAGACAAGCAUGGCAACCCACUGUCCUCUCUGAUUUGGGCUUAGUCAUAAGCAUUUAACACAACUUUGGCCAAUCAGAUGUAGGUGGAAGUCUACUGGGUGGCUUUUGGGGAAAGGUUUCUCUGCUUUUAAAAAGUGAAAAAAAGGAGAAAGCAGAGUUCCAGUCCUGCCUCAGAGGGAGCUUCUGCAUGGAGGUGCUGCAGAAUCUUGCAACCAGGAUGAAUGUGAGGACUAAAGCUCACACAGUGAGGAAUAUUCUAUUUAAAUUACAUGUUGAAUUAGCCAACUUUGGAGAAUUCUCUACCACCUAGUUUAUGUUGUAAGUCAAAAAACAAAUUAUUCUGCCAAGCAAGGAGCAUGUUUUAGCUUAGUCACCACAGAAGAAACAGAUCACUUUUAAUUAUGACAUUUCAUCAACACUUGGCAAGUAAGAAAGAUGGGUUGAAAGACUGCAUCAGAAAUAUUCUAGAGUUAUUUUCCUGCUAACAUGGAAACAAAAAGAUUCAAUGUGAGAAGAAAAAAUAGAUUCCUAAUGGUCAAGAGAACAAGAAAAUUAGAUAGAAACUUAAAUAUAAAGUACCCGGAAGUCAAAAUGUUUGAAAUGACACUUAGAGCCUUAAUUAACCAGAUUUUAAGAUAAUGACUGUAGUGUCUGUGUCUUCAAAUGGUUUGGGAUGUCCUUACAGCUCUUUGAAUAGUGUUCUCUUUAUUCAAUUAAUGCUUCUGAAAGAGCUUUAAUUUUACAUUAAUCAAAAGCCCUCAUGAUAUUUUCAGGAUGUACUCAAAUUCAAGAGUUUUUUAAAAGUGCAAUUAAGUUAUCAAGGCAGAGGCUCUGAUUAUAGGGACAAAAAUUUCAUAGCAACAGCCCAUUAAACACACUGAGCCUGACACAUUGCUGUACACCAUGGUUCAUGCCAGGCUGUGGGCAAAAUGGUCAGGCUUCCCAGUGAACAAGACUGACCUCCCUCUACCUUCCUCCUGAAGAGCAAAAUACUGCUUCUUUGACAACAUAAACAGUUACCUUAUACUACCCAUUUUUACAGCAAACGACUCUCUGCCUGUAAUCCAAGCUAAUGGAAUUUUUAAAAAUUCUAUGAGAGUUUUAAAAAGCAAGGACUGAAAAUAGCUUUUUCUUUUUUCUUUUUUUUUUUU